rnacentral:rRNA from 1 species
GGAAUUUUGCACAAUGGGGGAAACCCUGAUGCAGUGACGCCGCGUGGGUGAUGAAGGCCUUCGGGUUGUAAAGCCCUUUCACCGGGGACGAUGAUGACGGUACCCGGAGAAGAAGCACCGGCUAACUCCGUGCCAGCAGCCGCAGUAAGACGGAGGGUGCUAGCGUUGUUCGGAAUCACUGGGCGUAAAGGGCGCGUAGGCGGCCUGGGAAGUCGGCUUGUGAAAGCCCGGGGCUCAACCCCGGAGGUGCGGCCGAUACUCCUAGGCUCGAGGCCGGAAGAGGAGGGUGGAAUACCCAGUGUAGAGGUGAAAUUCGUAGAUAUUGGGUGGAACACCGGUGGCGAAAGCGGCUCUCUGGUCCAGUCCUGACGCUGAGGCGCGAAAGCGUGGGGAGCAAAC